rnacentral:tRNA from 2 species
GCGAGAGUGGCGGAAAGGCAGACGCGCCAGGUUCAGGACCUGGUGGGAGCGAUCCCGUGGGGGUUCAAAUCCCUUCUCUCGCACCA